rnacentral:rRNA from 1 species
AUAUUGGACAAUGGGGGGAACCCUGAUCCAGCCAUGCCGCGUGUGUGAAGAAGGUCUUAGGAUUGUAAAGCACUUUAAGUUGGGAAGAAGAGUUGUAGGCUAAUACCUUGCAAUUUUGACGUUACCAACAGAAUAAGCACCGGCUAACUUCGUGCCAGCAGCCGCGGUAAUACGGAGGGUGCAAACGUUAAUCGGAUUUACUGGGCGUAAAGCGCGCGUAGGUGGUUUGUUUAAAUGUAAGUGAAAGCCCCGGGCUUAACCUGGGAAUUGCUUUCAAAAAUGGAGAGCUAGAGGACGGUAGAGGGUAGUGGAAUUUCCUGUGUAGCGGUUAAAAGCGUAGAUAUAGGAAGGAACAUCAGUGGCGAAGGCGACUACCUGGACUGAUACUGACACUGAGGUGCGAAAGCGUGGGGAGCAAACAGG